rnacentral:tRNA from 1 species
UGUGGUGUAGCUCAGUGAUAGAGCAUUUCCUGGUGUGUAGGAGAUGCUAGGUUCCAUCCCUGGCACCAUAG